UGGGGAAUAUUGCACAAUGGGGGAAACCCUGAUGCAGCGACGCCGCGUGAACGAAGAAGGUAUUCGUAUCGUAAAGUUCUGUCCUAUGGGAAGAUAAUGACAGUACCAUAGAAGAAAGCUCCGGCUAAAUACGUGCCAGCAGCCGCGGUAAUACGUAUGGAGCGAACGUUGUCCGGAAUUAUUGGGCGUAAAGGGUACGCAGGCGGUUUAAUAAGUCGAAUGUUAAAGAUCGGGGCUCAACCCCGCAAAGCAUUGGAAACUGAUAAACUUGAGUAGUGGAGAGGAAAGUGGAAUUCCUAGUGUAGUGUUGAGAUACGUAGAUAUUAGGAGGAAUACCAGUAGCGAAGGCGACUUUCUGGACACAAACUGACGCUGAGGUACGAAAGCGUGGGGAGCAAACAGG
rnacentral:rRNA from 1 species